rnacentral:ncRNA from 1 species
CAUAGAUUUGGUCCUAGUCUUAAUAUCAACUCGUACCUAAUUUACACAUGCAAGUCUCAGCAGCCCAGUGAGAACACCCUCAAACCUAUUAAGGAAAAGGAGCUGGUAUCAGGCACAGAUUUCUAGCCCAUAACACCUAGCAUCGCCACACCCCCAAGGGCACUCAGCAGUGAUAAAUAUUGAUUAUUAAGCGUAAGCUUGAUUCAGUUAACGUACACAAAGCCGGCCAACCCGGUGCCAGCCGCCGCGGCUAUACCGUAGGGCUUAAGUUGAUAACUACGGCGUUAAGCGUGUUUUGAGCCACAACAAAUUAGAAUUAAACCUGGCCCAGACAGUGACAUGUAUACACCUUAUGAAAAUACUAAACGAAAGUUAUUCUAAUAAACACUCGAAUCCACGACAAUUAAGACACAAACUGGGAUUAGAUACCCCACUAUGCUUAAUCGUAAAAUAUUUACUUACACUUCAACCGCCAGAGAACUACAAGUGAUUACUUAAAACUCAAAGGACUUGACGGCGUCCCACCUACCUAGAGGAGCCUGUUCUAUAAUCGAUAACCCCCGAUAUACCUAACCACCUUUUGCUAAUCAGUCUGUAUACCUCCGUCGCAAGCUUACCAUAUGAAUGAUAACCAGUAAGCAAAAUGAUUACUUCACCAAUACGUCAGGUCAAGGUGCAACCUACAAAGUGGCAAGAAAUGGGCUACAAUUUCUAAUUUAGAACAUACGAAUAAUCAUAUGAAAAAUGAUAAUGAAGGCGGAUUUAGUAGUAAGAAAAAAAUAAAAAGUUUUCCUUAACCAAGCAAUGAGACGUGUACACACCGCCCGUCACCCUCUUCAAUUAAUUUACCAUUAGUUUAUAACACUAAACUUUACUAAAGAAGAGGCAAGUCGUAACAUGGUAAGUAUACUGGAAAGUGUACUUGGAACA